AUAAAUCCCAUUGUGAAAUCUGCUCUACUUCUCGACGUGGAGGGAUAUGGACGAGCCACGGUCCGAGGGUAUAUAUAUAAGCUAGAGACCUUGGCUCGGGACCCCUAUUUCAUUUCAACGUAGGGUCUGUUCACGUGUGGUUGUGUGUCGCUAAUUUUAUUAGUCUCACACACCACUCGAAAAAAAAUAAUAAACUUUGUCAUAAAACUCUAAAAAAAUUAAAAAAAUACAAAAAAAAUCAUAAAAUAACAAAAAAUCCCCAUAAAAAUUGCAAACGGUUUUAGAAACAGAAGUGCAAAAAAGCUGUUUGUGUUUAGUGUGACAUUGUUGGUGUGAUUUGGCUGCAAAAUGAAUCCCAGUGGCCCUAGCUACCCUCUAGCCUCGCUCUACGUGGGGGAUCUCCAUGCGGAUUGUACAGAGGCCAUGCUCUUCGAAAAGGUUAGCAGUGUAUAGAUGUCAGGCCUUCAGGUGAUAUUUUGUUGAUGCUUAUAUGACUUUAAACACAAAAAUGAAUUUUUUUUAAGCUUAAACACAAAGACCGAAUCCUCGACCCUCGUCAAACACAUGUGGCAGGGGCCAGUAAAACCCCCCUUCCUAACCACCCUGUGACUUGUCCAAAAAGUUGUAAGUAUGAUUUUAUGAAAGUAAUGGAUGUGUGGAAUAAUGGUCGGUAGCUACUUAUAUUUUCAGGAAGCUACAGAAAUGUUUGAGAGGUGACAGCUGUUACAAGUUGCAGUCAUGGGGAAAGUAAGGGUGUUGUAAUCGGCUGUAGGUAUACGUGUAUGUUUUAUUUUGUCUUGGUAUGUAUCCUUUGUUCUGCAGAAUGUCUCCAUUAGAUGUUUAGAUCAUUAGAAAAAACAAAUUGUGGAGAGAAGUAAUGGAAUUUAGAAAUGUAGUAUAUCAGCCCCAAUAUACUUCUUUGCCAAAAUUCCAUUGUGAGGAAGUGGCAUCAAGAAUGCUUUCAUUGUAAACAUAAGCCAUCUGAAGGAAAGGGAAAAAUAUAUCCGCUCAGGAUUAUUUUAGGUACUAGUAGAUGGACAAGAAAGCUGGUUAUGGAGGAGGUGACAACAGGUGGAACAACACAGUGGGUGGCAAGAUGUAUUGUUGAUUAAGGCUUAUAUUCUCUAAGGUGGCAAGGAUUAACAGAUUUGGACUACUGCUGGAAGGUGUAGCUUGCUAGAGCUGCCUCUGUUGGAAUGAAGUUUAAAUUAUGGUUGAAAUUAGGUAAGUCUAAGUAAGGAUGGACUCUGUUAAUUUCCUGGUGUUAACAUUAGUUGAGGAAUAAAUGAUGCAGGCAUCUGCCCAGUCCUUCCGAUGGUUGGCAUCCCUGAGAGGACAGCAGACAGCUUAUCUUUCAUGUCCUUUGCAAAUAACGGAUCUGUGUUAAAAAAUGCGUGACUCUCCCUAAACUCAUUUUCUUAACACGAACGUCGUUGGUAAGGGUCGUGGAAGUGCCAUCUUAUGCCAGCUCCGAGGUGAAAGCCAUUGGAUGGGAUUGGUUGGUUGCCUGGAUUGUUGUUUCCUCUGCUAUUGUUUACAUCUGGAGCUUAAUAGAAUACAGCCUUAUUAAGACUAUGCAUAAUCUCAGCACUUAAUUCAGACUUUAUGCCAGCAGGCUCAUUUCUAGGAAG